AUUCUGAAUCUCGAUUCGACACCUCCUUCAACCUUCCACACCACCACUACCAACAUUCGACACCACCCACCACCACAGAAACCAACAGGUCAAUUAACACUAUCUUCACUUCACUUUCUAUCUUCACCAUCACUACCAAUUUCUUCUUCUUCCUUCUACCCCGGUUCUCCAUCGAUUGAACCACUACCAUCGCCACUACUACCAACUUCAAAAUCACUCUUGAUCCUCAUCAAUUUCUCAGUGUAAACUUCGAAUAAUUUUUACUUAGUUUAGAUUUUACGGUUCAGAGUUUUGAUUUGAUUGACUCACUUCAGAAACUGUAACCCUAAAUUGGAAAUUGUGUGAAAAGAUUAAAUCACUUCAGAAUUGGGUGAAGUAUCCUCAACAAAUACUUCCAGAUUGGUUUGGUUAUUACUCUCAUCUUCUUCACUUCCGGUAACGUUUGUCAACAUUAGGAUUAUAUGGUCGGAUUGACUUAUAUUGUGAAUAGAUUUAGCGAGUUCUCAUCCAUCUCCAAGUUCGAGGCUUAUUGAUGUAUCUCAAGUUCUAGAGUUUAAUUAAUCCAUGUUUUAACUUGCUCAUGAUAAAGAUGAAAAUUUGAAUUUGUGUUUUUAUAAUGUUUGAAAUGAAUAUCUGCCAAGCCCAUAAUAACUGAAUAUCUUCUGUAUCCAAUAUCUAACUGAAACGCAUCUACUAGCAAUGUUUUUGAGUAUCCAAGUUUCUGAAUUAUGUUUCUCGACUAUGAGCAUUAAUGUUGUAUUUCUAUAAUAUAAUUUACUUUCAGGGACUGAUCUGUAGAUUAAUCGUUCCAGAAUCUAGAAUUAAUUAGAUGUAUAACUUUGGCGGUACAUCUCUUAAUUGUAGUAUGGAUUUAUGUAAUUAGGGAUUAACUAUAUAUGGAAGUGUUGGAAUGUUAAAGAUGUAGACAAGUACAAGAGUUCCAUCAUCUCUUAGCACAAUAAUAAUAGUUCAUGUAAAGUUGAAAGGGUUUUGCUUUUGUGCUGAAGCUGAAAUGAGCUGUUUUCUACAUCACAGAAGAAUUCUGCUGUAUUCUUUAAUGUAUUUGGUGUUGCGACGUCUCUAUAUAUAAGUAGGUUAUUCAUAUCUCAACUGUAACAUGACACGAUAUUUCGACACUUUUAUAUGUUUUUUUAGUUUUAUAUUUUACUUCUUAUCCUAUGAAUUUAGUUAAAUUUGUCAGUUUAACUUUGUGAACUUUACCCGUUGGUUUUGGUGAUCUUAAUUGUAAUAAUUAGAUGAUAUAUUGGGUGCACUUGGGAGGUGGGGAUUUAAGGAAACCUUCCUGAUGGUGCUCAGGUUAUAUUUGAAACUCUUUUAGUUUUGUACUUGAAUUUUUUGUAGUUGGCUUGAUUUGAAUAUCAUGGACUGAAGAAUAUUUAUCCAUUCAAUUUGUCGGUGUUGCAGUUUAAGUUAAUGUUCUCAUGUUGUAAGGAACAUAAUGAGAAAGAAGUAUGCUACAUGAACAGUUGUUUGUGGAAAUACCCAGGGUCGGGAAUAAAAUCAUUUUUCAAAAUCAGUAAACAACUCAAUUUUUUGGAAUCUAUUUGGAAAUACCCAAAAUCAAAAUAAAUACCGAAUAGUUAAAUUUCAGUUGGGUAUGCAUUGAAUUUCAUUCUUAGUUGUAACAUAGAAAGAUUAAGUUUGUGAUCAUUACAUGUUUGUGUAAAUGCCACAGAGGUUGGAGUAUCAACGCAGUGUCUAUUCAAGGCUCAUUUGGAUGUCAAUUGAUGUUCAGUCUGUUCCACAGGCAGAUGCCAUGAAAGGUUGUUAUUCGACAGAAACUGCCAAAAGCUCAUGUUCUACGUCUAGAUUCACAUGAUAAUGAACAGGACAACGAAGCAAGUAGACAAGUUUCAGUAUCAGCUGGGGAGCAUAACGCAGAACCAAGUUUCAUUCUUCGGCGAAGUUCGGGAAUUCAGCUGCUACAGAGAGCACUUUAGUUAGACAAACGCCGUAUUGCAAUGAAAGAAAGACGAAGCGUAAUGAGUGAAAGUGACAAACAGCGGAUCCUUGAACAACGGCGUAGAGCUUAAAUGCGAAGAACAAUAAAGGGUGAUGCAACUAAUAAUGAGCACAGAGAGGGACCAAGUAGUGAUUUUUCUUUUGCUUCUUUCAGCCGGCAUCCUGUAGUUUCCUUUGAUAGAUGAAGUGCAGGAGCUUAAGUCAAAGGUCAGUUCUUUUUAUAUAGCAAAUUGUGAUUUUCGUUGAUAGAAUCCUUGACUUCCAUGCAUUUUCUGCACCUAGCAAGUAUAUUCUUCAAAAGAAGAGAAAUUUUAUCGUAUGGAUACUUCUUUAUAGUGUUUUAUCAGUGCCCUUAUAUCACUGCUGACUAAAAUUUGCUUUAAUGAGACCUUGGGUACUGAGGCUGAAGUACGAGUGGGUACACGAACAACUUCUGAGCUGAAAUGUUGGCAGCUGACAGCUGAGACAGUCUUUAACGCUGAAGUUCAAGUUCAAUUGCCGUCACCACUCAAUUUCUAUUAACCUGUCGUGCGAAAUUGUUGGACUUGGUUACCUGAGUGAGUAUUUUUUCUUCUAGACCCUUCCAUGUGCAAAAGUCCUUUUCAAUUUUCAAGCCUGAUUAUGGCUACUAUACUAAAUGUUGGAAAACAAAACUAAUGUAAUAUAAAUUAAUAAAAUACAUCAUUUACCAGUUUACAUCAA